ensembl:snoRNA Snord70 small nucleolar RNA SNORD70
UUCAUUGCUGUCAAUGAUGUAUUCCUUUUGGAACUGAGUCUAAGUGAUUUAACAAAAUUUCGUCACUACCACUGAGACAGCAAUGAA